GAUUUAUUUCAGUACAUGCUGUGGUUAAUUCUUGUCCAUUUUAAUAUCAUGUGUUUACCAUAUGUGAGUUGCAUUAAAUUAUAUCGCUAGGGGCCCGCUCAAUGGGUCCAGGACAUUAAAGUCCUUGGUAUUUUGACGUUGGAGACGCGUGGAAGGUCGAAUGGGCGCAUCGAGAUUCAAGACAUUUAUCAAGUAGUUGAUUUGAUUUUCAACUAAUUUAAGUAUUUAAAGUUUUGCUUAGCACAAGUUUUACCUAAUACCUGGAUAUUUUGAUGACAUCUUUAUGUCAUGCUUUGAAAUAAGAGGUUGAUUGUC